rnacentral:rRNA from 1 species
UACGGAGGGGGCAAGCGUUGUUCGGAGUCACUGGGCGUAAAGGGCGCGUAGGCGGUGCAUCAAGUCAGGCGUGAAAGCCCCGGGCUUAACCUGGGAAUUGCGCUUGAUACUGAUGCGCUAGAGAGCGGGAGAGGAUGGCGGAAUUCCCAGUGUAGAGGUGAAGUUCGUAGAUAUUGGGAAGAACACCGGUGGCGAAGGCGGCUCACUGGCUCGUAACUGACGCUCAUGCACGACAGCGUGGGGAUCAAACAGG